AACGAACGCUGGCGGCGUGCUUAACACAUGCAAGUCGAGCGCGAAAGGGCUUCGGCCUGAGUAGAGCGGCGCACGGGUGAGUAACACGUGGGUAAUCUACCCUUCAGCGGGGGAUAAUCGCCCGAAAGGGCGUCUAAUACCGCAUAAGACCACGGGGGCUUUGGCUCCAGGGGUUAAAGGUGGCCUCUGUUUACAAGCUACCACUGAAGGAUGAGCUCGCGGCGCAUCAGCUAGUUGGUGAGGUAAUGGCUCACCAAGGCUUAGACGCGUAGCUGGUCUGAGAGGAUGAUCAGCCACACCGGAACUGAGACACGGUCCGGACACCUACGGGUGGCAGCAGUGGGGAAUAUUGGACAAUGGGCGCAAGCCUGAUCCAGCAACGCCGCGUGAGUGAUGAAGGCCUUCGGGUCGUAAAGCUCUGUGGGGAGGAGCGAAAUACUCUGACCUAACACGUCAGGGGGUUGACGGUACCUCCUUAGCAAGCACCGGCUAACCACGUGCCAGCAGCCGCAG
rnacentral:rRNA from 1 species